rnacentral:rRNA from 1 species
GACGAACGCUGGCGGCGUGCUUAACACAUGCAAGUCGAACGAUGAUGCCCGAGCUUGCUUGGGUGGAUUAGUGGCGAACGGGUGAGUAACACGUGAGUAACCUGCCCCUCACUCUGGGAUAAGCCUGGGAAACUGGGUCUAAUACUGGAUAUGACCAACUGUCGCAUGGUGGUUGGUGGAAAGAUUUUUUGGUGGGGGAUGGGCUCGCGGCCUAUCAGCUUGUUGGUGGGGUAGUGGCCUACCAAGGCGGUGACGGGUAGCCGGCCUGAGAGGGCGACCGGCCACACUGGGACUGAGACACGGCCCAGACUCCUACGGGAGGCAGCAGUGGGGAAUAUUGCACAAUGGGCGCAAGCCUGAUGCAGCGACGCCGCGUGGGGGAUGACGGCCUUCGGGUUGUAAACUCCUUUCGUCAGGGACGAAGCCUUUCGGGGUGACGGUACCUGGAGAAGAAGCACCGGCUAACUACGUGCCAGCCGCCGCAGUAAAAC